AUUUACCAGAACAUAUUUUGAUGUGCUUAAAUGUGCUAAUAGCCUGAUGAAAUUCGUGUUGACUAUGCGUUUUACAUUUUGCCAUUUUUAUUUAAAAAAUGAAAAACAAAUGAAUUGUCAGUGUAAAUAAAUACUGUAUUGUUGUUCAAUCAGUUAAACUAUUUCACUGUUUUCAUGCAUAUGUUCAAAUCAUUUUCAUUUUUGUUCAAUCUUUAAGAUGCAACGCUUGUGUAAUUUACUUUAUGAAACUUAUAUAUACACAAAAAUGUAGUACAGAUGUAUAUCAAAUGACUGCUGUGGGCUUGUGGUAAACAGAAAACCAUGCUUUAAAUUGAAAAACCUUGUUAUAUGCCAUGUUUUUCAUUUAAUAAUAUUAAAAGCACUCUUGAAAUGGAACUUCUUGAAAAUAUGUUUCAUUGUUUUGUAAAAAUAUCUUAAGUUAUCUAUUCUAAAUUAUCUAUUCUUAUAUAAGAAAUACAAAUUAAAAUUGGUUAUUGGAAAUAAGUCAAUUAAAAGUCAAGGGAUAAUGAUGUAAUGUACUUAAAAAUGUCAAAACUGCUAUUGUCUCUAUUUGUAUUCUAGAUAUGUUAUAUCCUUAAACAAACAAAUACAAUGUUGUCUCCUUGUUGAAUAGGUGUUGUGUACCUCUGAACAUGUCAAGUCAUUUACUUUAAGUAUUUUAAACUAGUUCUCACUAUCUACACCCAUAAGUCACUCAUGACUUUUGUGUAAUAAACAUUGGAUAAAUAUAUUUUUAUAUAAUCAAUUAUAAGAUAAGGUAAAAAGUGUAUGUGCGUUAUAAGAAAUAAACAUUGGAUAAAUAUAUUUUUAUAUAAUCGAUUAUAAGAUAAGGUAAAAAGUGUAUGAGCGUUAUUAGUAAUAAACAUUGGAUAAAUAUAUUUUUAUAUAAUCGAUUACAAGAUAAGGUGAAUAGUGUAUGUGCGUUAUUAAAUUCAUCAGGUAUGACCAUACUGUGCUACAAGUUUUGUAAUUGUGACUAUUAAAAGUACAUGAUCUGCAAAAAAUGUCACUUAAACAAAUGUGUAUAUGUUUAUCAUUAUUAAAUUCUUUCCAACUA